rnacentral:lncRNA from 1 species
CGAGGCUGGUCGUAGCAGCAGCUGGGGCCUGGCAGAACUAGAGCAGUAGCCCGGACUCCCGAGUCAGUGUCGUCUUCAGCUCUGCCAUGGUGCCUGAGAGAGAGACCCUGCAGACUGACACUCAGGCGAGGCAUCUGUCUGGUAGCGGCUGCUCCCAGAGAGCAGGGAAGUGGAGCGUGAAUAGUUAAGCUUUUGGAGGACAGAAAAGAGGUCAAGGGAUCCUCUGCUCCUGAAGCUGGCCAAGGGAAAGUGUGACAACUGUAACCAUGUGCUGGAGAAUCCUGUUGAAGAAGAUACUAACAUAGAUACAGUAAAAUAAAUUAUGAACCCCUGAGAAUUCUGCUUGUUUGGAUGGAAAUAAGAUGAAUAUGAGUUUGUAACAUGUCCUUAGCGAGAUUGUCCAAAGAAGGGAGUCAAGCCAAAGUAAGAAAAAUCUACCAGUGUAGUGGAAGGCUAAAAACAGGCUUUUGUAAGCUUUUAAAUCAUGUUUGUUCUGCCUGAAUUGCAGGUGAGAGCAGGAGCUGGAGCAGCUCGGUGACUGUCUGUGGGCCAGCAGCCUCUCAAGCUGCAGCUCCUGUCUCAUGGACAGCAAGCCCCGAGGAGAGCCUCGAGAUGAAGCGCAGGCUGAGGCAACUCGUUCUGCCUGCUGUUCUGCUUUAGGACAUCAUCCUCCUCUCCUUCCCCUGUGCCUCACUCCCACCUUCACAGCCACUUGUUCUGCCUUGUCUCUGUUCCCUCCUUGUGCCAAGUGUCAAAUCAAUUGUCUGUGUGAUUAGUAAGAACAAUUGUCCAGGAUGGACUGACAACCUCUGAAAUGAUUAGAAGGAUAGGCCAAGCUUGGUGGUCAUUCAGAAGCAGCUUUAUCUGCGAAGAAGUGGAGAGGUGGCCUUGAGGAUCUGCAAGUCGCUCUGUUGAUGCAUCCUGGUAUCAGAUGUCUGAGUUCUGGGCCAUGAGUCUGUACCUGACUUUAUUACUUGGGGGUUCCUUGCUUUGACCUUGGAUGUUUCAGGCAUGCUUAUGUGUCAAUAGCUUUAUGCUGACACUCUGCACUGCAGAGAUUUCAUUUUGUAAAUAGCAAAAAAUAGCACUAGGAGAGGUUUCCUGGAGUGCUGUUGACCUUACAAUUCUUCAACUCUUAGUCUGGCAGAGCUGGAUUUUGCUCACCUGCUUUGAAAAUAUGAGUUUUUGGCAUGAGUAUGGCUUGUAAUUUAAAUUAGACAGCGUUGUAUGAUUAUUAGGUCUUUUUUUUUUUUUUUAAUUUGAGUGGACAGGCCAUGUGCAUGAUGAUGGCAAAUUUGGGAAAUCUCCCUAAAAGUUUUGAGAAAGUGCUUGAAGUGAGGGCUAUGUGUUUUAAGAAAUAAAUAGGAACACAUGACAUAAACA